rnacentral:rRNA from 1 species
GAUGAACGCUGGCGGCGUGCCUAACACAUGCAAGUCGAGCGAUUUACUUCGGUAAAGAGCGGCGGACGGGUGAGUAACGCGUGGGUAACCUGCCCUGUACACACGGAUAACAUACCGAAAGGUAUGCUAAUACGAGAUAACAUGCUUUUAUCGCAUGGUAGAAGUAUCAAAGUUUUUGCGGUACAGGAUGGACCCGCGUCUGAUUAGCUAGUUGGUAAGGUAACGGCUUACCAAGGCGACGAUCAGUAGCCGACCUGAGAGGGUGAUCGGCCACAUUGGAAAUGAGACACGGGCCAAACUCCUACGGGAGGCAGCAGUGGGGAAUAUUGCACAAUGGGCGAAAGCCUGAUGCAGCAACGCCGCGUGAGCGAUGAAGGCCUUCGGGUCGUAAAGCUCUGUCCUCAAGGAAGAUAAUGACGGUACUUGAGGAGGAAGCCCCGGCUAACUACGUGCCAGCAGCCGCGGUAA